rnacentral:rRNA from 1 species
ACGAACGCUGGCGGCGUGCUUAACACAUGCAAGUCGAACGGAAAGGCCCUGCUUUUGUGGGGUGCUCGAGUGGCGAACGGGUGAGUAACACGUGAGUAACCUGCCCUUGACUUUGGGAUAACUUCAGGAAACUGGGGCUAAUACCGGAUAGGAGCUCCUGCUGCAUGGUGGGGGUUGGAAAGUUUCGGCGGUUGGGGAUGGACUCGCGGCUUAUCAGCUUGUUGGUGGGGUAGUGGCUUACCAAGGCUUUGACGGGUAGCCGGCCUGAGAGGGUGACCGGCCACAUUGGGACUGAGAUACGGCCCAGACUCCUACGGGAGGCAGCAGUGGGGAAUAUUGCACAAUGGGCGGAAGCCUGAUGCAGCAACGCCGCGUGCGGGAUGAAGGCCUUCGGGUUGUAAACCGCUUUCGCCUGUGACGAAGCGUGAGUGACGGUAAUGGGUAAAGAAGCACCGGCUAACUACGU